rnacentral:rRNA from 1 species
GUCCACGGCCACACCACCCUGAAUGUGCCUGAUCUCAGAAGCUAAGCAGGGUUGGACCUGGUUAGUACUUGGAUG